rnacentral:rRNA from 1 species
UUUUGCAAAGCAAGACGGGUCCGAGUGGGCAGCAACCUUAAAGAUGGGGCUCUUGCGCUCCCAAAGGAGGCGCCGGCGGCGGCGGCGCUGGGGUAUAGGGCGGUGAGGUACCGGGGUCAGGAGCGAGGCGUCGGCGGUUUAGGCCUGCUCAAGCAGCGGGAAACGCGGCGGUGGGGCCGUCGGGGAGAGCAGCCGCUGAUGGUGCCCACGCGGAGGGAGAGGGAGCUCUGAGGUAGAGCUGGAGCUCCGAGGUCGCGCUGCGGUGGAGGACGGCUGGCGCUGAGGGAGGUCGCGACGGCUGCAGCGGGAAACGCAGCGGUGGGGCCGUCGGGGAGAGCGGUUGCUGGUGGUGCCCCCGCGGAGGGAGAGGGACCUCCGAGGUAGAGGGGUCGCCGGAAGGGAGGAAACGGGGCUCAGGUCCUGGUGGUCAAACCAGUUUAAGGGACAUCGGCGGCCAGUACUAGCCGGCGUGGCGGCGGGGACCAGCUGCGAUUGCGGCGCCGCCUGUCGCCCGACGACACUACUACGUGGCCCCACAUCGCGUCGAGCCUCCGGACCGACGACACCACCACAACCAGCACCACCUGCCCCUUGGCCGCCGUCCCUUCGGGACUGAAGACAUACGUUACGGCUGGAAUUACUGUCUACAAAGACACAAACAAGACCACGGCACCGACGAAACUACGUAGUUUAGGGAGACGAAGGGCCGCGGAGAGGUAGAGAAGGUCUAACUAAAUGUUGACCCUGGCAGGGAUUGUUUCAGACGUGUAGCUAGACGACAUUGUAACCGACCCAAAAGAGAGGAGCUGAGAUGAUUGUGAGACCUCAAUGUUCGUUAAUGUAGUCCAUCUAUAUAGAUACAAAAUGUUGACCCUGACAGGGAUUGUUUCAGACGUGUAGCUAGACGACAUUGUAACCGACCCAAAAGAGAGGAGCUGAGAUGAUUGUGAGGCCUCAAUGUUCAUCUAUAUAGAUACAAGAAAAAAACGUAACUCGACGUAACUAAAAUAAACAUUUGCCCCUCUCCGUCCACUCGACGGUCGUGUAGAACCGGUGGUGACUAAAUGCCUGUUCUGCUUAUCUAUACGUCUGAUUCGAGGUCCCUAAAGCCAUCAUGUACGGUACAAAUAGGAGUGACGACUUAUUAGAUAUAUAUUGAUAAAAACGUUAUGAACCUGGUGUCCUCGUUAAGCAAGAAAUAUAAAACGAGCCCUAACACGGAAAGUAUUAUCUUCCCAUUCUACAUAGCGUUAUAGAAACUGAACGUAAGAGACACUACACUUCAUUCUUUUAUCUUAUAUAUUAUAAUUUAAUAGAAAAAGGAAAAAAAUUACAGGGAUAGAAUGAGUAUAUUAGGUUAACCGUAAGUGAUCUCAAAGACAACUACUUUGUAAACAAAACACUACAGUCCUCCAAAAGAAACACUGAAAAGUUAGUUAUAAACAUCUAUGCCAAGCAUCUAGUACUAUAGACGUGUUAGAGAUAGAUGCAGGACACUAAUAUAUAACAUAAUUACCCAACACAGUCCGAAUAAAAUAGUUGACGAACCAACAACUGGAUGUAAUGCCAAAUUAAGAAUGUCGUCAAAUACAACUGAGCUAAGGGACAUCAUCCAACUCUCCGAAGAGCAGAGUACUAAAUGAGACUAGUCAAACGAAACGAGGUACGAGGAGUACUAAAGAAACUUAAAAAGACAUCCUCGAGUUAGUUUUUAGUGGAUUCGUUUAUACAGCAGGAAGAGAUGUUCCCAACCUACACCUUAAACUCCUCUUAGACACGUGGUCGUAACCUGAGGAACUACAACGAGACUAGUAUAACACAUUUAUAUAAAGAUCAUUUCGUUAACGAGCUACCACAUGUACAAUCUUUAUUGUUCUACAUUAGUAGUUCACACUCUCUACCGUUGUAGUCCUACCCUACCAUACAUGACAACACGAGUAGUUAUCCAAUCAGAAAGUAAGACAACGUCGGUCAUACAAAAAAGAAUACCUUUGUUAGUUCUUUAUAGAUUAAAGAUACAUGUAGGUUUAUAUAUAUUCACCGAUAAUAAUUGUACCUCAAAUCUAAACAAUUGCCAGUGACGCAAACCAGAUAGGGCUCGGAGACUAACACUAAGCACAAGAAAACUAUACGUGAACGGUACUAUAACACCGACCUGAAGACCAUACACAAUGGAGAUUAUUUACAACGUCUCGAGGGAGAGGAGACGAACUAAAAGGAAAAAACCUAAAAGUAGUCGAACGAAGCAAGAAGCCAGCUGCCGUAGUGUCAUGGGGACAGAUACACCUGUUACGGAUUAUAUGAAGGUGACCUACCGCUGGUCCGGUCCUUCCCUCACCUGAACACGACGAGUGCCGAAACGAGGAGAUAAGGGAGGAAAAGGAAACUACAAAGCUUUGUAGAACCUCAUCACCUACCUAGUCUAUACCGGGUCAUCGUGACCACCAAAAUGACACGUCCUUGUCAAGUUGUACAUCAAGAACUACCCUAAAUCAUUAAAACCCAACAACUCGUUCUAGCACCUUCGAUUACGACGACUAAGUACACGUUAAUAAUAGGAAAAAAAAGAAAGAAUCUAAAAACUCCAAAAAGAAUCUACAAAAAAAUCUAUUCUACAGAUCUCUAAAGUUGAACCAGUUAAGUAUACGAAUUGAUUAUAAAAUCUAUUGCCUUCUAACGAGGACGCCGACAACGUAGCAAGGUAUAAAAUAUAACGGACUUGUACAAAAAAGAAAACGGACUAGGAUGAAACAAUUUGUAGAAAAGGGUCAAUUCACCGAGCCGAAACGAUAACAAAGAGAACCAAAGUGAGACGUAUAGUUUUAGAGAAAAUGCAUGAUACGUAAAUACGAGAUAGACGUGACAUUAAGUUGUACAGAAGGAAGGCCAAUGUCGAUUAUGGAGACAGAGUUCGCAUAUAAUAACUUCAUUACGAAAAACUAACUAAUAUAUUAACAUAUAACAAGAAAGUGAUAGAGUAUCCUUUAGUCUUCUGGUGAAAACCUAUUCAACCUACCAUCCAGAAAGAGACCUUGACAAAUAGUAGACGUUUUUUUAAACCGACUAGUCUCGAGUCUUCGUUACUCCUUGUACUUCGUCGUUUCUAUUACUCACUGCCACCACCGACCUGCAGGGGCGGUACUUCUACUCGCCUUCCUCGUUCUCGUGUAGACUUCUACCCCUCCCCACCUCCACCGCCAAGACUUAAACUUCUGCCACGGCACUCCUCAUCGUCCUCCUCGUCGGCGGCUGCCGGACCGACGUACACAAUAGAAGUUAGAAGCCACAUACCUAGUUGUGUCUUGAUAUUCCAAAACGCUCCUUAGUUCCGAACAAAAGAGACAUAGUACUAUUCCAGUUCGUUUACUGUAUGGUCUAGUUAAAAUAACAUCCAGGACUUAUAUUUAGAUGAUUGUUUAAGACGCUAAGAAACGAAGGUUUUCUACUUGGAUUUGAACGUUAAGGAGAUGAUGACGGGUAACGGGUCAUGUCCAGGUUCUCUUGUUAUAAACGUAAGACUUACAGACGGACGUGUGUUGGUCCAAGAGAUCUACUCACACACAUGUUGUGAUGUUGGACGUUUUAUCUAAAAGGUGCACGAACAACAGUUAUAAACGCCAUGUUAAACUUUAAGUAUUACGUGGUUUCAAUAACACCACACUACUAGACUAAAUUUCGAAAAUUCAUUACCUAAUAUGUUUAGUCGUACACUUAAACAUGAGUUCUAGCACUAAGUAGGGCUCCCUACGUAGUAAAUAUCAACUU